AAUCAACGCUGGCGGCGUGCCUAACACAUGCAAGUCGAACGAGAAGGUGACUUCGGUCACUGGAUAGUGGCGUCCGGGUGAGUAACACGUAGGUAAUCUACCUUCGGGUGGGGAAUAACGUCUCGAAAGAGACGCUAAUACCGCAUAAUGCAGCGGCACCUAAUGGUGAUUAGUUGUUAAAGCGGGGGAUCUUCGGACCUCGCGCCUGAAGAGGAGCCUGCGGCAGAUUAGCUAGUUGGUGAGGUAAUGGCUCACCAAGGCUUCGAUCUGUAGCUGGUCU
rnacentral:rRNA from 1 species